CUGAGUCCUCGUUCUUGCUGCCCCUGUGCGUUCUGCCCCUAGUGACAUACUUUCAGUUUGCUUUACAAUCACAAGCUUAACCCUCCAUAAAUAAAGGAUUCAACAAGUAGGACCACCUUCCAACACCAGUACACUUGGGGGACAAAUCGUAUGCAAACCACAGCAAGAGUCAUUCAGUUCUCAUACAUAUCUUGUCAAAACAGAAGAUCUUUGCUGCCAGGAAUAUACUUGAUAAGAGUUUUUAAGAUUGGUCACAGCACAAGAAAAAUUGAGAUGCCCUGAAAUUUACAGUUCAUAAAUGAAAGACACCUGAUAAAAGUUUCUCCAAAUUUGACAACAGUUCUAAGAAUAUGGAGGAAAAGAUGCAUAGGGAACAUAAAGGAAUUCCCAAAGACCACACAGCUUGUUAAGUGGCUGGAUCCAGGUUAAAACCAGUAGGACCAGAGGCAAGAUGUAAUAACCCUGGACCCACAGAGCACCUGGAAGUCACUCUAGCUGUGGAACUUGGGUAGGUGCUACAGUCUGCUGACUUUUGGAGUCCAUAUCCUCUUCACUUCACUUCACUUCUUUAUGAAGUUUGCCCUCGGUUUAUCUCCUGGAAAUGUGGCCUUUUCCUUGUUUUGGUUCCUCGAUCCAUUGGAGGUAAGUGCAAGGGCUCUGUAUUCAGCCAUCUUGAUUCUUCAUUCCUUGAUUCUGCUCCAGGACUGUAACUUUACAUACCUUAAUUCUCUUGAUGAAAAAGGAGCAAGCUUGUGCCCUGGCUUGUGGUUAGGAAAUGCCAUGGACUUUUCUUUCCUUUUCUUCUCCAGUUGACGUGCUUUGCUUCCUCAGUCAGAAAGGACCACGCAAUGGAAGGCGUCUUCAGAAGACUGGGGCAGUAUGAAGUCUUGAAUAACCCAAAAGCAGGAACUCAGAAUGGUCAGAUCUGGAACAAUGACUGGAUUUGUAGUAGCACAGCCACAGCCCUUAGUGUCCUCAGGGACAGUCUGCAGGGAAUUGCUCUUUGGGUGGUCCUCCUUGAUUAGAUUGAUGCAACUCUGAAGAAAGCAGCAUUAUUUUUCUUUUAUUUCUGAAGAAACAGGAAUUCAACCCAAUGUGGGUGCCCUUGCAGUGAGAGGCAACGCAUUUCUAGCCUGCAGGCAAAUUUUGCUGCCCCCCGCACUGUUACCGGCAUAGCUUCCCCAAGUAACUACGCAACUCGCACAAGUAACAUCGCAACUCCUGCAAGUCAUGUUGUAAGCUGAUUCUUUCACUUUGAAAAUGCAGAAACUCAAAAUUUAUUAAAAAGGUAUAAUUAAGAAGUGUGAGACAUCAUGGGUGAGAUUUUUUUUCUCCCAGUACCUGACAUUAGUUUGUUUUGUACACUGUGUUUAUUUUGAAGCUUUUUCCCUCUUAUGUUAGGAAAGAUAUCUGCCAAAUGUAUUAACUAAAUGCAUAUAUUUAUAAAAUAUCACAUGGGACCAGAAACCUUGUAAAAAAUUUGAGAUUCAAGUGAAGGAGUGAUAAAUGUGAAUUUCUAGCCAUGAAUAAAUGUACAAAGAAGGAUAAAGUUUGAAAAUUCAUAAGCUAGGUAGCUACCUCAGAACUAGGAAAAGAAUAAUAAGAAUAAAAAGGAAAAAUAACAGGAAUUGAUAAAAUGGGAAUCAAAUAUAAGUUGAUUCCUUAAAAAGAUUAAUAAAAUUAUAUAAGUUUUUCCCAUUCAUAUAUACAUUACAUUUCUUGUACUGCGUAUAUUAGCUACCACAAGUCAAAGAAACAUGAUAUUUGUCUUUUUGGGUCUAGUUUAUCUCACUGAGAAUGGUGAUCUCCAGGUGCAUCUAUCUUAUUGCAAAAGAGAGAAUUUCAUAUUUUUAAUGGCUGAAUAGUAUUCUAUAAUAUCCAUGUACCACAUUUUCUUUAUCCAGUCAUCAGUUGAUGGACAUCUGGGUUGAUUGCCUAUCUUAGCUAUUGUGAAUGAAGCUGCUGUAAGCGUGGGGGUAAAGACAACUUUUUCAUAUGCCAAUUUCAUUUCCUUUGAGUAAAUUCCCAGGAGUGGGAUGGCUAGGUCAUAUGGUAGAUCAAUUUUCAGGUCUUUGAAGAAUCUCCAUACUGUCUUCCAUAAUGGUUGUACUAGCUUCCAUUUCUACCAACAGUGUAUUAGGGUACCUUUCUGUCUACAUCCUCACCAAUUUUGUUAUUUUUUGAUUUUUUGGGUGAUAGCCAUUCUAACUGGGAUGAGAUGAAACCUUAUUGUGGUUUUUAUUUGCAUUUCCCUGGUUGCUAGUGAUACUGAAUACUUUUUCAUGUGUCUCUUGGCCAUUUGUAUUUAACCCUUUGGAAAAUGCCUGUUCACUUCCUUUGCCCAUUUCUUUUUUUUUUAUUUUAAAAAAUUUUAAUUUUAGUUAAUUUUAACAGAUUCAAUAUAAUUUAUAAAUACAAGUCUAAGAUUCCUUGCCCAUUUAUUAACUGGAUUGUUUUGUAAUUGCUGAGUUUCUUGAGCUCCUUAUAUAUUUUAGAUAUUAAUUCAGUAUCAGAUGACUUGUUUGCAAAUAUUUUCUCCCAUUCUGUUGUUUACCUCUUCACUCUGUGCUGUGUUUCCUUUGCUGUGCAGAAGCUUCUUAGUUGGUUUAACCCAGUUUGUCUAUUUCUGCUUUUAUUGCCUGUGCUUCUGGGAUCUUAUUAAAGAAAUCUUUGUCUGUGCCAGUAUCUUGAAGUGUUUCCCCUAUGCUUUCCUCUAUUAAUUUAAGGUAUUAGGUUUAGAUCCUUCAUCCAUUGUGAGUUCAUUUUUGUGUAGGGUAUAAAGUAGCAUCUUGUUUCAUAUUUCUGCAUGUGGAGAGAUCCAGUUUUUUUCAGCACCAUUUGUUGAAGACACUGUCCUUUUUCCAUGGAGUUAUUCUUUUAGCUCAUUUGUCAAAGAUUAGUUGGUUGUGAUGAAUGGAUUAAUUUCUGGACUUUCUAAUCUGUCCCAUUGGUCUACAUGUCUAGUUUUGUGCUAGUACUAGGCUGUUUUAAUUAUAACUGCUCUGUAAUAUAUCUUGAAAUCUGAUAUUGGGAUGCCUCUGGCUUUGUUUUUAUUGUUUAAGAUUGCUUUAACUAUUUGGGGUUUCUUUGUUUCCAUUUGAAUAUUAGGGUGGUUACAAGAAGGAUGUCCUUUGUGUUUUGAUUGGGAUUGCAUUGAAUUUGUAAAUUGUUUGUGGUAGUAUGGACAUUUUGGUGCUAUUAAUUCUUCCUACCCAUGAGCAUGGAGAGGUUUUCCAUUUUUUUGUGUCUUUUAUUUCUUUCUGUAAUGUUUUGUUAUUUUCAUUGUAGAGGUCUUUCAUGUCUUUGGUUAAAUUUAUUCCAGGGUAUUUAAAUUUUUUGUUGCUAUUGUGAAUGGAUCUGAUCUUAAAAGUUCUGUCUCAGCCAUGGCAUUGUAAUUAUGUACCUCAAAAUUUCAAUAGGGCCAACUGGGGGCACAAUAGGUAAUGCCACUGCCUGUGAUGAUGGCAUCACAUAUGUGUACUGUUUAUAUCCUGCUGCUCCACUUCUUUCUGAUCCAGCUCUCUACGAAUGUGCUUGAGAAUGAAGUGGAAAAUGGCCCAAGAACUUGGGACACUGCCACAAACUUGGGAGAUCUGGAUGAAGAUCCUGGCUUUAACCUGGCCCAGCCCUGGCCUAGUCCUGGCCCAGCCCUGGCCUAGCCCUGGCCCAGCCCUGGCCUAGCCCUGGCCUUUUGGGGAGUGAACCAGCAGAUGGUAGAUAUCUCUGUCUCUUCCUCUCUCUCUGUACCUCUGCCUUUCAGGUAAAUAAAUAGAACUUAAAAAAACUUAGCAUCCACUUACUGUGUAUGGGAGAAAUGUUGAAAUACUUAUUAUGGAGCAAGCAUAAAUAGCAACCAACAUUGUAGUUAUAAAUGUUUUCUUGUCUUAAGGAAGUCUUGUCUGUUUACCCAGAUUUGUGCUUCUGGUAAGUAAGGAUAGGUCUAAUUAUAGUGUUUUACUGGUAUUAAUAUAGAGUAUGAUGCUAUGGAAAUAACAGAGGCUUGAUAAAUGAUUUUUGAUUGGCUUGUUGGUUGACUAAAUAAAUGUAAGUUAGCUUUAACAAUGAAAAUUGCAUUUGUCUUAUUCAUGGAAACUGCUUUGCCAGAGAGCAUAAUUUUGGCUAUAAUUUACGGUAUUUCUAACAACAAAACUCUUGGGAGAAAGUCUGAAAUGCAUCUGCAUUGUGACUGACUCAUAUGACAGUGUCUAACGUAAGGAAAAUACCUGUUUUCUGAGUUUGGAAUGCCUACCAGAAUAAGCAGGAGACAACAGAGGGAAAUACUCAAUUUAUCCUCAUCUCAUUCUCCACUACAGAAAUCCAUGUCUCUCACUUGAUGUGAUGUCUAGACAUAAUCACAUGUGACCAAGCAGAGUUCGAUGAACAGAAUGUGGGUUGAUGUGAUUAAAUUCCUCAAUAGAUAAGAAGUUUUUUUCCCACCUCGUCCAAUGUUGAUUAAAAGACAUACUAUGGUGAGGAGAAUUAAAAUGAAGCAUACUGCUAUCCUGACACUAGGCCAGCUACCUGAUAGUCAGAUCAGCACCCAGGGAUUAAUGCCGUCUGUCCAGUACAUUCCUUGUUUUGAAGCUGGGCAUCAGGGAGCAAAAUUUAUCAUGUCUAUGAAGAAACCCCAGGGACAGAUGUGGUACAGACAAGUCUUAAAGCAUUUGGUGAGAGUAUCCCAGAUAUUCUUAAAGUGAUGUGUCAAACAUUAAAUUAAGUGAAGCAGAGGGUUUGUGAUUUUUCUCUUUCCUAAGUGGAAUGUCAAAGAUAGGUUACGGGAGUUAAGGCUACCAGUUUGAAUGUUUGAGUAAAGCUCUGUCUUUAAGUAUUUGUCAAGGGAAGAAAAAGUUGUUUGAGGCUUGGCAGCAACUUCACAUACAAGUUAGCAGAGAAUAAACUAUUUCCUUUUUGAAAGUCAGAGUUACACAGAGAGAAAAGGAGAGCCAGGGAGAGAGAGGUCUUCCAUGCUCUGGUUCACUCCCCAAAUGGGUGCUAUAGCUGGAGCUGUGCUGAUCCGAAGGCAGGAGCCAGGAACUUCUUCCAGGUCUCCCACAUGAGUGCAGGGACUGAAGUGCUAUCUUCCACUGCUUUCCCAGGCUAUAGCAGAGAGCUGGAUCAGAAGUGGAGGAGCCAGGACUCGAACCCGUGUCCAUAUGGGAUGCCGGCACUGCAGGUGGUGGCUUUACCCUCUAUGCCACAGCACUGGCCCUAGAAUAAACUGUUUCCAAGUUGCACAACUGAGAAGCUGAAAGGACCUAUGAAAGACCUUUCUAGCUGUUAUCAAAAAUAGGAAUUGAAACCAUUGAAGAAUUAUGCCUACAUCUUGACUCAGAGCAUACUUGAAUUUAGCAUUUCACUUAUCAUGGCCUUCUUGAACAUAAUACCACAUCAAUGAUUCUCUACUCCCCAAAUAUGGUACCUGAUGCCACCUAUUGCUUUUGCAAGCAGAAUUGAAAGCAGAAUGGGUUCCAGAUUGCAAGUGUAUACUAAGGCAGGUGAGUUGGUUGGAGAAACUUUCUUCCAGAGGUGUUUGUGUCUGUGGAGAAGGGAGUUGAUGAGGGUACCAGUGGCCAACUCAGACAGACUUGGGCUGGAAUACACUUCCUGACUGGCCCACCUCGUCUGAAAUGCUCCGGUUUCUCCUCAGCCAUACCCGGUCAAGAAUAACUGUAGUCCUCAGUGAACCCUUCCUAAUCUACUGACUCUAGGGCAGAGGAAAGGGAUCAGUGAUGGGGAGUGAAUGUGUUCACUGUGGCUUGUCCUUUUCCCUUCACCUUGACAAAUCCAUAGAAAACAGCUCUACAGUCCAGCAUGAACAGUUUUCCCCAACGUGUGGCCCUCCAACUACCCAUAGUAGCAUCAUUUGACAACCUUUAAAAUGCAUGUUCCUAAACCCUGUGCCAAACCUUCAAAAUUAGAAUAUCUGGGAGCAGGCCUGGGAACAUGCAUUUUACUGAUUCCCCCAAGGAGUUUUGAAAUUUCCUGAACUUUUGACUUAGGAGUUUGGGUUCCCUGUUAUUCUUGAAGUUGCAGGUGUUAAGGCCAGUGCUUCUUGAAGAUGAGGCUGAGGGGAGGAGGAAGUUGGUAGAAGAAGGGAUAGAGACUGGACUGAUCAGAAUGAUGCUCUUCUGGUCAUCAAAUGUGGGACUUAGCGAGAAGCUGGAGGGCAGAGAUUACAGGCUGGUAAUAUUUAAAAUAUAGUUUUAUAAAAUAUAUAAACUAGAUUCUAUUUGGAUUAUGCAGCAUUUACCAGUAUUAAAAAUCAAAAUACCUUUAUAUUAGUCAUGUGCUAUUCAGUCCUCCACAGCCUGUCACUGCCUGCUCAUUUCAUUUCAUUUCCUUGCCUCUAAAGGCACCUGAUCAUCAACUCCAAUUCAACAUCAAAUGAUCUAUUGCCUUUUUAUUUUUUAAAAAAAUUACAACUUAGUAUUCAAUCUCCAAAUGCCCACACCAAUCAGCACUGGGCCAGGCCGAAACCAGGCACCUGGAAUUCAGUCUGUGUUUCCAAGGUGGGUGGCAGGGUCACAAGCGCCUGAACAAUCAUCUGCCACCUCCCAGGGUAGACAUUAGCUGGAGCUGGAUCAGAAGCAGAGUAGUCAUGGCUUGAACCAGGCACUCUGAAAUGGUAUGCAGGAGUCCUACAUUGUGACUUAACCACUGGCUAACCACCCGCCUUUCUUUCCUUGUUUUUAAAUUAUAGAAUAUGAACAAACAUGUUCAUAAAAGGACAAACAGGCUUUUUUCCUUUGAUUUGUCUUUAAACCAAAAUUACCUUUAUUUUCCUAACUGGCUGGAAAACACCAAUGACAGAGUACCUAGCAAAGUGCUUUAAUGCAUUGCAUGCCUCAAUAAAUAAUUUUUGUGUGAACAAAAAGUAAUGUGAUGCAGCUGAUGAUUUGUUUGAGGGCUAUUUUCUCUUACUCCUUCUAUCAUCUCAGUCCUUCCACCACAAAAUGCAAGGGAGAAUUUCAAAAUCUAGGGUCUACGUUCACCUGUCUUGAGUGGGACAGGUACAGGCCUGAUUUUUUCUCCACCUUUGUUGAAAAUUGUAGAUGAAUUAAAGGAACAGUUUUCAGGUCUAAGAGCCUUGAUGUAUACUGUUUAUUCCUGAAUGUUUCCAUGUAAACAUUUUAAUUGAUGGCAAAUCUGUUUGUUGUGUUUGUCAAGUUAAUGUAAACUGUAGUCUGUUAGGCCUUGAGAUGAGUCUACUAAAUUUUUCAGAUGUUUUUUAUUUCCUCAGCUAAGAGCUGGAUUUGAACCAGAGCUUAGGGGUGAAAGGGCAAUAUGUAAUAUACAGACAUGGAGUUCAACAUAUGAAAUAAAAUAAUGUAAUGUUUUUAAUAUUCAGGAUGAAAAAAGCAGCAAUAAAACAUUGUGGAAGGAGGAAAACGUGAAUACCUGUAUAUUUGAAUUUUAAAUGCCUGCAGAUGUUGAAUUUUAAUCAGAGCAUGUCAGAUUCUGACUCUGACAAAGGCAGAAAUGUGAGAUGUGUUUUUGUGAAUUGCUUCCACAUUCCAUGCUUCAGAUUCUAUUGCAUAUAGCACUGUCUCGUCAUAUAUCUAUGUAAAGUGCCAGCAUCCAUUGACUUAGCGUGUGCGUGAUGGCUAACACAUAAAGCAGUGUGCUGUGAAGAAAAGACCUCUUCUCUCUCUGUCUCUCUUUCUUCAUAGCCUAGAUUCUCUGUGACCUCGUGAUAAGGAAGGCAUUUAACCUCUCUCUGUUUCAGUUUCUCUAAUCAUAAAAUAGGAACCAGUAUUCUUGUUUCUUCUGUAGCUCUAUGAGUGUUGUGAGGCCUAUUUGAAAUAGUAACUGAUCUGUACACUUAGACUAUAUAACAAAAUCAGGUAUACAUUCAUUUGUGUGUCUGUAUUUAUUUAGAGAGAUUGAAAGAGCAAAAGGAAACUAGUGAAAACUAAACAGAUAUUUCUUCAUAAAAUCUAAAUAUGUAUUGGAAUCUAAAUUUAAGGUACUUUUAGAUUCUGUAUGUAUUUGUGAGGUAGUUCCUAUUAUUCUGUUUUUUUGCAUCAUAAUCCCUAAAGCAAUGAUAGUCAAUGACCUUAAGUUUUACACUGAAAUUUUAUUACUGAAAACAAUGGAUUUGUAUAUAUAUGCAUAUAUAUAAUAUAGAUAAAAAUAUCUGUAAUUUCCUAUUUUUCUCUGAACAUUUUGAAUGUCAUAGGAUAAGGAAAGGAUAAAACGUUUACUUGCUUGAAGAUCAAUAGAAGAUCAGUACUCCUUGUUUUCUUCUGUCUUGCACCUUUCUUGAAAAAAAACCUCAUAGCCAUGAGGAUCAGUCUGAGUCCAUUUUGUGUUGCUGUAACAGACCACCAAAUACUGAGCAAUUCAUAGUGAACUGACAUUCAUUGGCUCACAGGUUUGGGAAGUUUAAGAUCGUUGUCCAACAUCUGGAUAGUGUCUUCUUGCUACAUCAUGCCAUGGUGGAAGGGUGAAAGAAGAGCCUGAGAGGAGGUGGGUGUGAACCCACUCCCUCGGUACCAGACCUGCUCCCAGAAUAAGGAUAUUAAUCUGUUCAUGAGGCUGGAACUCACAUGACCUAAUCACCUCUUAUGUACCACUUUGUAAUGCUGUUACCAUGGCAGUUAUGUUUCAACAUGAGUUUGGGUGGGGACAAACAUUCAGACGCACAGCCAGGUCUCUUAGGCUAAAUGGCUGUAUAUCCUUGAUCCUUUUACAUCUUUACUCAUUCAGUGCUUUCACUUUGAGGCCUUUCUGCUGCCUUCUUAGGGAAUCUGUGUGGGGUUGUUGGAAAUAACUAAGGGAUUUUUGAGACCAGCCAAGCUGAUUAUUAAAUGUUGAUUUUAUCUGUGAUAUAGCCCAUUUCUAAAUAUUUCGAGUAUUCUGGUAUACACACUGAUGUUUAGGAAGAAAGAGAAAGGAAAUGUCUAGGAUGAUGUGGUAUAGAACAAGGAUAGCACAUCCAGUACAGUAAGGUAGUCUGUCAUAGUGGCAGUGAAGAGGAAAUUGUAGGAGUCUAUGCAGUUCAUCCUACCACCUCACUGAAAUAUUAUGUAUAUUUUUGUUUAGUCCACAAAUUUUUAUUUUUAGCCACUGCACUUAUUUGUCUCAUCAAAUAUUUUCACUAUAUUGCAAUGGAGAGAUUUUUUUUUCACCAGUAAGUCUUCUCAAAAAUAUUUCAGAUAGUGGCCAGCACCCUGGCUCGCUUGGUUAAUCCUCCUCCUGUGGUGCUGGCAUCCCAUAUGGGCGCUGGAUUCUAGUCCAGGUUGCUCCUCUUCCAGUCCAGCUCUCUGCUGUGGCCCAUGAGGGCAGUGGAGGAUGGCCCAGGUGCUUGGGCACCUGCACCCGCAUGGGAGACCAGGAGGAAGCACCUGGCUCCUGACUUCAGUUCGGCGUAGCUCUGGCCAAAGCAGCCAUUUGGGGAGUGAACCAAUGGAAGGAAGACCUUUCUCUUUCUCUCUCUCUCUCUCUCUCUCUCUCUCUCACUGUCUAUAAUUCUACCUGUCAAAUACAAAAAAAAUAUUUCAGAUAAAAAUGGUCUGAGUGGAAAAUAAAUCAUGCUUCUAUCCUCACAGAUUAAUCUUCCUAAAAUCAUCUUUUUUAUUUAUAAAAGGUGAACAAAUUUCAUGUCUUCCAUGUAUACAGAUUUAGGAGCAUAGUAAUACUUCCUACCCUAACCUCCCUCCCACCCUCCCUCCUGCUUUUCUUAUUCUUUCUUCUAAUUUUUGCAAUGACAUACUUUCAAUUUAUUUCAUAAUCACAAGAUUAACCCUCCCUAAAUAUGGAAUUCAACAAAUAGUAAGAAGAAAAAAAACACUUUUCCUCAACACAAGAGACAAGGAUAGUAAAUAAUAAUCAAUUCUCAAAAUGGCAAUUUUGCUUAUAUAUGUUACUUUUUUUGUACUUUAUUAAUUACCACAGAUCAGAAAAACAUAUGUGUGUUUUGGGACUGGCUUAUUUCACUAAAUAUAAUAAUUUUCAGUUGCAUCCACUUUGUUGCAACAGACAGGAGUCCAUUCUUUUUUACAGCUGAAUAGUAUUCCAUGGUGUACAUAUACCACAUUUUCUUUAGCUAGUCAUCGGUUGAUGGACAUCUGGAUUGAUUCGAUAUCUUAGCUUUUGUGAAUUGAGCUUCAAUAAACAUGGAGGUGCAGAUAUCUCUUUCACUUCAUUUGAGUAAAUUCCCGGGAGUGGGAUGGCUGGGUUAUAUCAUAGAUCUAUUUUCAGAUUUCUGAGGUCUCUCCAUACUGUCUUCCACAACGGCUAGUAAUUUCAUGGUAACAGGUUGUAGAUUUAGAUCCUUGAUCCAUUUUGAGUUACUUUUUGUAAGGUGUAAGGUAGGGGUCUUGUUUCAUACUUCUGCAUGUGGAGAUCCAGUUUUCCCAGCACCAUUUGUUGAAGAGACUGUCCUUUCUCCAGGGAUUGAUUUUAGCUACUUUGCCAAAGAUAAGUUAGUUGUAGAUACAUAAAUUAAUUUCUCAAGUUUCUAAUCUUUUCUUUGAUCCACAUGUUUAUUUUUGUGCUAGUACCAGUCUGUUUUGAUUAUAACUGCCUUGUAGUAUGUUUUGAAAUCUGGUAUUGUGUUACAUCUGGCUUUGUUUUUGUUGUUUAAGAUUGCUUUAGCUAUUCGGGGUCUCUUGUGUUUCCAUAUUAAUUUUAGCAUCAUUUUUUCUAGAUCUAAGAAGAAUGUUAAUAUUCUGAUUGGGCUCACAUGAAUCUUUAAAAUGCUUUCUAUAGUAUAGACAUUUUGAUUAUAUGAAUUCUUCUAGUCAAUGAACAUGGAAGUUUUUUUCCCAUAUUUUUGUGUCUUCUAUUUCUUUCUUUAAUAUUUUAUAAUUUUUGUUAUAGAGAAUUUUAACAUCCUUGGUUAAAUUUAUUCCAAAGUAAAUUUCUUUGGAGCUAUUGUGAGUGGAGCUGAUCUUACAAAUUCUUUCUCAGCAGUGGCAUUGUCUGUGUAUACAAAGGCUGUUGAGUUUUGUGUGUUGGCUUUAUAUCUUGUAACUUUACAAAACUCUCUUAAGUUCCAACAGUCUUACUGGAGUCUUUUGGUUCUCCUGUAUGUAGAAUCAUGUCAUCUGUAAACAGGGAUAAUUUGACUUCCCUUUAUCCAAUAUUUGUCCCUUUGAUUUCUUUUCCUCCCUAAUGAUCUGUCUAAAACUUCCAGGACUAUAUUGAAUAGCAAUGGUGAAACUGAACAUCCUUGUCUGGUCCUGUAUCUUAGUGGAAAUGCUUUCAACUUUUCCCCAUUCAAUAUAAUGCUGGCUUGAGUUUGUCAUAUAUUGCCUUAAUUGUGUUGAGGAUGUUCCUUCUGUAUUUAAUUUGUACUCUGAUUAUCAGAACUUACAAAAAUUUAUUUAUAGGACAAAAUACAGAAUUAUACGUUGAAGUCUUUCCCCCAUGGACCCAGCUAUCUUCCAGACUUCUCUGAAAUAUUUCUGCUACAGUUAAACAGUAACAUUUUCUUUGCUUUCUUUUUUUUAUUAUUUUUUUAUUUAGUAAAUAUAAAUUUCCAAAGUACAGUUUAUGGAGUACAAUGGCUACCCCCCAUAAUUUCCCUCCCACUCGCACCCCUCCCAUCUCCUGCUCCCUCUCCCAUUCCAUUCACAUCAAGAUUCAUUUUCAAUUAUCUUUAUAUACAGAAGAUCAAUUUAGUAUAUAUUAAGUAAAGAUUUCAUCAGUUUGCACUCAUACAGAAACACAAAGUGUAAAAUACUGUUUGAGUACUAGUUAGAGCAUUAAAUCACAAUGUACAACACAUUAAGGACAGAUCCCACAUGAGAAGUAAGUACGCAGUGACUCCUGUUGUUGACUUAACAAUUUGACACUCUUGUUUAUGGUGUCAGUAAUCUCCCUAGGCUCUAGUUAUGAGUUGCCAAGGCUAUGGAAGCCUUUUGAGUUCGCCGACUUCGAUCUUAUUCCGACAGGGUCAUAGUCAUGGAAGUACUCUCCUCCCUGCAGAGAAAGGUACCUCCUUUUUUGAUGCCCCGUUAUUUCCACUGGGGUCUCACUCGCAGAUCUUUCAUUUAUGUCGUCUUUUUUUUUUUUUCCAGAGUGUCUUGGCUUUCCAUGCCUAAAAUACUCUCAUGGGCUCUUCAGCCAUAUCCAAAUGCCUUAAGGGCUGAUUCUGAGGCCAGAGUGCUAUUUAGGACAUCUGCCAUUCUAUGAAUCUGCUGUGUAUCCUGCUUCCCAUGAUGGAUUGUUCUCUCCCUUGUUGAUUCUGUCAGUUAGUAUUAGCAGACACUAGUCUUGUUUGUGUGAUCCCUUUGACACUUAGACCUAUCAGUGUGAUCAAUUGUGAACUGAGAUUGAUCACUUGGACUAGUGAGAUGGUAUUGGUUCAUGCCACCUUGAUGAGAUUGUAUUGGAAUCCCCUGGCACGUUUCUAACUCCACCAUUUGGGGCAAGUCUGAUUGAGCAUGUCCCAAAUUGUACAUCUCCCUCUCUUAUUCCCACUCAUAUUUAACAGGGGUCACUUUUCAGUUAAAAUUUAAACACCUAAGAAUAAUUGUGUGUUAAUUACAGAGUUCAACCAAUAGUACUAGAACAGAACAAAAAAAUACUAAAAUGGAUAGAGUAUUGCAUUGUACAUCAACAGUCAGGACAAGAGCUGAUCAAGUCACUGUUUCUCAUAGCAUCCAUUUCACUUCAACAGGUUUCCCCUUUGGUGAUCAGUUAGUUGUCGCUGAUCAGGGAGAACAUAUGAUAUUUGUCCCUUUGGGACUGGCGUAAUUCACUCAGUAUAAUGUUUUCCAGAUUCCUCCAUCUUGUUGCAAAUGACCGGAUUUCAUUGUUUUUGACUGCUGUAUAGUAUUCUAUAGAGUACAUGUCCCAUAAUUUCUUUAUCCAGUCUACUGUUGAUGGGCGUUUGGGUUGGUUCCAGGUCUUAGCUAUUGUGAAUUGAGCUGCAAUAAACAUUAAUGUGCAGACAGCUUUUUUUGUUUGCCAAUUUAAUUUCCUUUGGGUAAAUUCCAAGGAGUGGGAUGGCUGGGUUGUGUGGUUGCUGAGGUUGUGUCCACUUAAGAAUCAUUCUUCUGGUUAUCUUCUACUUGUCAGUUUUCUAAAUUCCAUGGGUUCUGGAAGAUAGAUUGAUGUUUCCAUCUUUCCUGCACAGGCUGUCAUUACUACCCCCUACACUGACUUGUGGCAUCUCCUCAGUAUCUCUACUUCAUUGUUGAAUGAGCUAUUCUGGGAGACUGACUUCUUUGUCAUUAGAAAGAGUGAAGAUGAAAUUGUUAAAAGCGUUCACCUAUGGAAUGAGAUCAUGGAAAGAGCAUGCCAUUGCUAUUUCACAAAAUCAUUUUGGAAACUUAUAUUUAAGCUCUGAGUCUAGAUAUGGCCAUAGAUGACUAUGAAUGGCUUUUAACAUGGUAAAGUAACGUCUGAGCUUCCAUCAGCAACUCAGUCAUUGCUGCACACAUACUUAUUCCAUCAUCUUCCCUGUAGAAUUUUAGGAAUGUCUUGUCUCAAGGAGUUUCAAACCUGCUUUGACAGGUUUGUGCAAACAAAAUACUCUGCAGGCAAAACUUGAUUAAAAGGCAGUACUUCUAUAUACUGUCAUAUGCUGGGCUAGCACUGUGGCACAGUGGGUUAAAGCCCCAGCCUUCAGAGCCAGCAUCCCACAUGGGUGCCAGUUCUAGUCCCGGCUGCUCCUCUUCCACUCCAGCUCUCUGCUAUGGCCUGAGAAAGCAGUAGAAGAUGGCCCAAGUCCUUGGGCCCCUACACCCGUGUGGGAGACCCGGAAGAAGCCCCUGGCUCCUGGCUUCAGAUCAGCUCAGCUCUGGCCAUUGCGGUCAUUUGGGGAAUGAACCAUUCGAAUGGAAGACCUCUCUCUCUCUGGCUCUAUCUCUCUCUGUAACUCUGUCUUUCAAAGAAAUAAAAUAAUUCUUAAAAAAUUUACAAAAAUAAAAAAACCUGUCAUAUGCAAAGCAAAUGAAUCAAGGCUUUCUGAUUUCAGAGGUCUUUUAAGUAUUACCUGCUGUUUCAUCUGUUUGGAUAUCUUGUCAAAGUACAUGGCAAGACCUUUCUAAAGUCUCUUGUGUGGCAAGAAGUUUCUGUUUGGCUGCAGACAGUGCAUUAUACAGUCCUUCUGAGGACAUGACGAGAGGGUGGGAUACGUCACCAUAUGCUUGGGAAUCCUUCCUAGAUCACUCAUAGCUUUCACCAUGUUUCUUUUAUUGUCAGUGAUUACAUGAUCUUCUUCUCAACUGAUUGUUUCAUUCUAUAAAUAUUUCUUUAAUCGGAUUCAUUAAGUUAGCUGUGCGACACCCAGAAAUCUCUUGGUAGCCAAGAAAAUCAGAAGCAGAGUUGAAUUUAUCAUUAAUCUCUGUGUCCGUUAAACUUGAAAAAAAAAAAA